CCUACGAGAGGCAGCAGUGAGGAAUAUUGGUCAAUGGGCUAAGGCCUGAACCAGCCAAGUCGCGUGAGGGAAGACGGUCCUAUGGAUUGUAAACCUCUUUUGUCGGGGAGCAACGAGGCCACGUGUGGCCGAAGUGAGAGUACCCGAAGAAAAAGCAUCGGCUCACUCCGUGACAGCAUCCGCGGUAAUACGGAGGAUGCGAGCGUUAUCCGGAUUUAUUGGGGUUAAAGGGUGCGUAGGAGUAACAUUAAGUCAGCGGUACAAUAGAGGGGCUUAACCCCUUUAAGCCGUUGAAACUGGUGAUCUUGAGUGGGCGUGAAGUAUGCGGAAUGCGUGGUGUUGCGGUGAAAGGCAUAGAUAUCACGCAGAACUCCGAUUGCGAAGGCAGCAUACCGGCGCCCGACUGACGCUGAGGCACGCAAGCGUGGGGAUCGAACAGGAUUAGAUACCCUAGUAGUC
rnacentral:rRNA from 1 species